rnacentral:tRNA from 2 species
CAAGAUGUAGCUUAUAAACUAAAGUUUAUUUUUUACACUAAUAAGAAAAAUAAUUCUUCUUGAAU